UUUUUAUAUUUUGUUAAUAGAAAUAGAUAUGAGGACUUAAAGGGUUUAUAUUUAGGUAGUGCUUGAGCCAAGGAAAAUGAUAGUCCACUAUCUUGACCCUAUGCAUCACAAACCAUGUGAGGACUUAAAGGAUAUCGUAAACAUGGCUCUUCGAAUAUCUGCAAAGAAAACAUCUAAGAGGGAGCCAUCUUAGCAACUAGUGCAGUGUCCAAGACAAGAAGGAGGGUUCAAAUGUGGCUACUUUGUUAUGAGAUUCAUUAAAGAGAUAAUUUUUUAUCCUACAAUUAUUGCUUCAAAGGUAUUACUUAUUUAAUGAAUUGUAUAUAGUUUUAGGCUUCCAAAUGU